rnacentral:rRNA from 1 species
GACGAACGCUGGCGGCGUGCUUAACACAUGCAAGUCGAACGGAAAGGCCCUGCUUUUGUGGGGUGCUCGAGUGGCGAACGGGUGAGUAACACGUGAGUAACCUGCCCUUGACUUUGGGAUAACUUCAGGAAACUGGGGCUAAUACCGGAUAGGAGCUCCUGCUGCAUGGUGGGGGUUGGAAAGUUUCGGCGGUUGGGGAUGGACUCGCGGCUUAUCAGCUUGUUGGUGGGGUAGUGGCUUACCAAGGCUUUGACGGGUAGCCGGCCUGAGAGGGUGACCGGCAACAUGGGAACUGGGAUACGGCCAGACUCCUACGGGAGGCAGCAGUGGGGAAUAUUGCACAAUGGGCGGAAGCCUGAUGCAGCAACGCCGCGUGCGGGAUGACGGCCUUCGGGUUGUAAACCGCUUUCGCCUGUGACGAAGCGUGAGUGACGGUAAUGGGUAAAGAAGCACCGGCUAACUACGUG